rnacentral:rRNA from 1 species
UACGUAGGGUGCAAGCGUUGUCCGGAAUUAUUGGGCGUAAAGAGCUCGUAGGCGGUUUGUUGCGUCGGCUGUGAAAUCCCGAGGCUCAACCUCGGGUCUGCAGUCGAUACGAGCAAACUAGAGUGUUGCAGGGGAGACUGGAAUUCCUGGUGUAGCGGUGAAAUGCGCAGAUAUCAGGAGGAACACCGGUGGCGAAGGCGGAUCUCUGGGCCGUAACUGACGCUGAGGAGCGAAAGCAUGGGGAGCGAAACAGG